rnacentral:lncRNA from 1 species
UUUAAUGCAAUUUUUAUAUCACCGUGAUCACCAUUCUUUUCUCUGCAGGUUGAUCGGAGCCGAAUCACCAAAACACGAACUUCACCGGAGAGCCACUGCACCCGAGAGCACCGCCGCCGGUAAGCUUCAGUUUUCCGUAAAUUUUCGGCCCCCCGAGGGCCGUAGGGUUGUUUUAUCGCAGGAACCAAUGCGAGUGUGGCCGAAUUCGGCCGAAAACGGUCGAAAACGGCCAACCCGAGGUGAACCGCCGCCGCAAGCGGCGUCGCCGGAGCACGGCGGAGCCGCCGUGCCGGAGUUGCGAUAUUGGCCGAAAGGGGC